UACGUAGGGUGCAAGCGUUAAUCGGAAUUACUGGGCGUAAAGCGUGCGCAGGCGGUUAUGUAAGACAGAUGUGAAAUCCCAGGGCUCAACCUUGGAACUGCAUUUGUGACUGCAUAGCUAGAGUACGGUAGAGGGGGAUGGAAUUCCGCGUGUAGCAGUGAAAUGCGUAGAUAUGCGGAGGAACACCGAUGGCGAAGGCAAUCCCCUGGACCUGUACUGACGCUCAUGCACGAAAGCGUGGGGAGCAAACGAGG
rnacentral:rRNA from 1 species